AACGAACGCUGGCGGCAGGCUUAACACAUGCAAGUCGAACGCCCCGCAAGGGGAGUGGCAGACGGGUGAGUAACGCGUGGGAAUCUACCCAGUUCUACGGAACAACAGAGGGAAACUUCUGCUAAUACCGUAUACGCCCUACGGGGGAAAGAUUUAUCGGAAUUGGAUGAGCCCGCGUAAGAUUAGCUAGUUGGUGAGGUAAUGGCUCACCAAGGCGACGAUCUUUAGCUGGUCUGAGAGGAUGAUCAGCCACACUGGGACUGAGACACGGCCCAGACUCCUACGGGAGGCAGCAGUGGGGAAUAUUGGACAAUGGGCGCAAGCCUGAUCCAGCCAUGCCGCGUGAGUGAUGAAGGCCUUAGGGUUGUAAAGCUCUUUCAGUGGGGAAGAUAAUGACGGUACCCACAGAAGAAGCCCCGGCUAACUUCGUGCCAGCAGCCGCGGUAAUAC
rnacentral:rRNA from 1 species